CAAAAACAAGUCAACAACUAUGAUUCCAUUUUUUUGUUUUGUUCUGCUCUGCUCUGCCUUUCACCAUCUGGAUUCUAAUGACAAAUGAAAAGUUUCCAAAUCGUCAAUGUAUGAAAGGGUUCAAGUUUCGGAAUGUUGUUGCUUGCCGGCAAAAAGGCAAAUAACUUUUUCCAUCUCACAAUUCAAAUGAAGUGGAAAUUAACUGGGGGAAAAUAUCAAAUGUUCAAGGACUUUUUCGUUCAUGGAAAUUGUGAUCGAUGUGCUUGGAGAGGUAAUAUGGUAUAGCCUGCUCGGGAUAGAAUGUGGACAUUUUCGUGCGUUGGAAAUAAAAUGGCAAAACGAAUAUUCCCCUCCUUCCUUGGAUGUUGCGUUUGGAAAUAUUUUAGUAUGAAAAUUCUAUAAAAACCAAAAUAUAUUUUUUUUGGUGCUAUUAUUUUGAGCACUGAUGUACAUUUGAAUAAACUUUUUCGAAUAUCUGGA
rnacentral:sRNA from 1 species